rnacentral:misc_RNA from 1 species
CAGAGUUGCAAAACUCCCUAAACCAUUGUGAACGUUACCUUUAUCGUUGCUUCGGCGGGCGGCGCCCAGCGCCCCCGGGCCCCUCGCGGGGCGCCCGCCGGAGGUCACCUAACUCUUGACAACUGUAUGGCCUCUCUGAGUCUAUGUACUUAAUAAGUCA